CAGCAUCGGGAAACUUGUUAGAGAGGCAGUUUCCAGGCUAACCAUAGGCUAUAUUAAGACCACGCCUGUGUCCCCAGACGCCCGUUCCUUCCCUAGGUCUGGUUUCGCAAGUGCCGGGCAUGAAC
ensembl:snoRNA SNORA72 Small nucleolar RNA SNORA72